GAUGAACGCUGGCGGCGUGCUUAACACAUGCAAGUCGAACGAAGCACCUUAUUUGAUUUCCUUUGGGCCUGAUUAUUUUGUGACUGAGUGGCGGACGGGUGAGUAACGCGUGGGUAACCUGCCUUGUACAGGGGGAUAACAGUUGGAAACGGCUGCUAAUACCGCAUAAGCGCACAGCAUCGCAUGAUGCAGUGUGAAAAACUCCGGUGGUAUAAGAUGGACCCGCGUUGGAUUAGCUAGUUGGUGAGGUAACGGCCCACCAAGGCGACGAUCCAUAGCCGAGCUGAGAGGGUGACCGGCCACAUUGGGACUGAGACACGGCCCAAACUCCUACGGGAGGCAGCAGUGGGGAAUAUUGCACAAUGGACGAAGGCCUGAUGCAGCGACGCCGCGUGAGCGAAGAAGUAUUUCGGUAUGUAAAGCUCUAUCAGCAGGGAAGAUAAUGACGGUACCUGACUAAGAAGCACCGGCUAAAUACGUG
rnacentral:rRNA from 1 species